CGUCGUUCCGAACCAGGCAUCGAGAGGAGGAGCUCAGAUGGGCCUAGGCGCUCUCACAGUCACAGCUAAUUCAGCCAGACUUGUGUGAUGAGUCGCCUGGCGUUCGGCCUAGCUACCUGCAGCUCCGUGCGGUUCUCUCUCCCCUCUAGAGGUCAACCACCCAUGGCUGCCGUGGUGGAGCCUCGACCUGGCGCCGCAGCCGUGGUGGAGCGUUGCAUGCUGCAGCUCGAUCUGCUGAGCAGCCAGGCUGAUCGACAUGCUUGGUGUGCCCUUGUGUCAUGCAAGGCCACGGGGAAAGGGCGCCCUACCGAGUGACCAAGGGUAAAAGAUUAGAGGAAGAGUUCACUUUGCUCUUCAUUGGACACGGAGCUGAAGUCCCGGACAGAGACAGUAUACAUGGGGUUACUGAAACCUUAAGAGCUUCUCCGGAGUUAUACUGAAAACCAGUAUCCAGUGCUUUACUUGUUUAGAUGGCGGCAACCAUGAACAUCCAUCAUUACACUGUAUUUCAGGCGAUCUGGUUCACAUUCCGAUCGACUUCUCAGUUCUUUUAAUAAGAGUGUGUUUGGUUACGUGCACCACAUGAUACAUGUAUGGAUGAUUCUGGAUGGUAGGGUUCAAC